rnacentral:rRNA from 2 species
AAACCAACCGGGAUUGCCUUAGUAACGGCGAGUGAAGCGGCAAAAGCUCAAAUUUGAAAUCUGGUACCUUCGGUGCCCGAGUUGUAAUUUGUAGAAGGUAACUUUGGGGCUGGUCCUUGUCUAUGUUCCUUGGAACAGGACGUCAUAGAGGGUGAGAAUCCCGUGUGGCGAGGAUCCCAGUUCUUUGUAAAGUGCUUUCGAAGAGUCGAGUUGUUUGGGAAUGCAGCUCUAAGUGGGUGGUAAAUUCCAUCUAAAGCUAAAUAUUGGCGAGAGACCGAUAGCGAACAAGUACAGUGAUGGAAAGAUGAAAAGAACUUUGAAAAGAGAGUGAAAAAGUACGUGAAAUUGUUGAAAGGGAAGGGCAUUUGAUCAGACAUGGUGUUUUGCGCCCUCUGCUCCUUGUGGGUGGGGGAAUCUCGCAGCUCACUGGGCCAGCAUCAGUUUUGGCGGCAGGAUAAAUCUGCAGGAAUGUAGCUUGCCUCGGUAAGUGUUAUAUCCUGUAGAAAUACUGCCAGCUGGGACUGAGGACUGCGACUUUACGUCAAGGAUGCUGGCAUAAUGGUUAUAUGCCGCCCGUCUUGAACCACGGACCA